CCACUGUUGGAUUUUUUCCUGUGUGACGAGCACUGGGGAACACAGCAGUGCCGCGCCAUUGCCUCUAAAACAAAUCGCAACGCGAGAAUUCCCAGAAGUGGUUGAUGUACCCCUCAAGCUCCUUAGAACGUUCAAGAAACAAGAAAGUCAUAUACACCUAGGAUGGCUUGAGGAUCUUUAGAUCUAAUGGAUGAAAUAAGCUCACGCAAAUUACAUAUGAAUGCGAAAGGAGACAGAGAGAAACAGAGAGCAGCAGCUUUCAUUUCUGCUCUGACAGUCGUGAGACCACGCUAAACGCUGUGAGUGUGUGUUAGAAAUCAGGAAUGGUGAAGAACAUGU